rnacentral:rRNA from 1 species
CCUACGGGUGGCAGCAGUGGGGGAUAUUGCACAAUGGGGGAAACCCUGAUGCAGCGACGCCGCGUGGGUGAAGAAGCGCCUCGGCGCGUAAAGCCCUGUCAGCAGGGAAGAAAAUGACGGUACCUGAAGAAGAAGCCCCGGCUAACUACGUGCCAGCAGCCGCGGUAAUACGUAGGGGGCAAGCGUUAUCCGGAUGUAAUGGGGGUAAAGGGGGCGCAGACGGCGAUGUAAGCAAGGAGUGAAAUCCCGGGGCCCAACCCCGGGACUGCUCUUGGAACUGCGUGGCUAGAGUGCAGGAGGGGCAGGCGGAAUUCCUGGUGUAGCGGUGAAAUGCGUAGAUAUCAGGAGGAACACCGGUGGCGAAGGCGGCCUGCUGAACUGCAACUGACGUUGAGGCCCGAAAGCGUGGGGAGCAAACAGGAUUAGAUACCCGAGUAGUC